rnacentral:rRNA from 1 species
ACAGCUGUCUCAGAUUAGCCAUGCAUGUCUAAGUACAUACUUCUUUAUACUGAGACCCCGCAUGGGUCACUUUAUCUCUUUUGGCUCUUAAUUUAUGGUCUCUUACUACGUGGAUAAGCGGAAAUUCUCUAGAUCUAAUACGUGCCCCAGCUCCCAACUUCUGGAAGGAUUGUAUUUAUUAGAUACAAACCCAUCCCGCUCCCGUGGUUUUUGGUGAUUCAUAAUACCUUCUCAAAUUGCGUUGCUUUCCCCUGCCCACGAUUCCUUCGUAUCUCUGCCCUAUCAGCUUUCUAUGGUUGGAAUGAGGCCUACCAUGGUGGUAUGGGUAAACGAGUUUAGGGUUCGAUUCCGGAAAGGGAGCCUGAGAGACUGCUACCACAUCCACCGAAGGCAGGAACCCGCAAAUUACCCAAUCCUGACACUCCUGGGUAGGAAGGUAAAUAACAAUAAUAGACCUUUUAGACCCUGUAAUUGGAAUGAAAACAAUUUGAAUCCCUUAU